GCCGUUGCCCCGGCAACCGGUUCCGCGCAGAGAAUGGGGCCUGCCCUCCUGGCGGUUCCAGAACGAGCCUCUUUUUCUAAGAGGUGGAUAGAACAGCAAGCCCUUACCUGCCCUUUCAUAAAUUGCACUUACACUGCAGAAUUAAUGUAGUUUGGCGCUACCAUGGCUCAAUGCUAGGGGAAUCCUAGGGAGAUAUAGUUUUACAAAGUAUUCAGCCUUCUCUGCCAAAGAAUGUGGGUGCCUCACCAAACUGCAAAUCCUUAGCAUGGAGCCAUGGCAGUUGAAGUGGUUCCAAACUGCCUUAAUUCUACAGUGUAGAUCAGGCCUGAGCACGGUUGGGCCCACCAAGUGUUUUGGACUUCAACUCCCACCAUUCCUAACAGCCUCAGGCCCUUUCCUUUUCCCCCUCAGCCGCUAAGCUGAGGGCCCAAGUUUGCCCAGGCCUAGUGUAUAUACACUCUAUUUCAGCCAAGCCUUGUGGACGAGGUUGAAUUUUGUGGGACUUUGGAAUUCCUGAUAAAGAAUGCUCAACCUUUAGCAAGUUUAAAUUCCAAAAGCCAGAGAGAAAGAAGAAAAAUACCCUUCCAAUACUAGAGCUGGCAACAACCAUGGAAUGAUUCAGAUUUGGAAAUGUAGAAGGAAACACAUCCACCUCGCUUUCCUGCCAUAGAUAUCUCAUUGUGACAUAUGGGGGUUGGACUGGAUGGCACGUGAGGUCUCUUUCAACUCUACGAUUGUAUGAUUCUGUGAUUCUAUAAUUCUAUGACUACCAGCAGUGGAAAAAGGUACUGUCUUUGU